AUGGCGGCUGUGGAUGCAAACUCCGGCGGCGAUUCAGGCAUACCUCCGGGUGGCAGCGCGGCGCAGCAGCCUUCUCAAUCCGAAUCUAAUCCUUCUGCUAGUGGCGCGCAGCAGAGGUUGGAUUGGUCGGCGCCGGCACGACCACCGUCGACGACAAGAAGCAGAGCUCAAGGUCGGCGGAAGCUUCCUCGUUCUGCGGGCGGCGGUAGGUACGGCAUAGUUUUUUGCAUGGUUGUGAGAUUCAGAGAUUCAGAGAUUCAGAGAUUCAGAGAGUCGGUGGUGGAUAUAAGCAUGGACAGAAAGGAAGAGCUGAAGAAAAGCAUGGUGCAGAGAGAGGCUGACCUUAACCAUUUUGAAGGUGACACUGAUGUGUCUGAAUUUGUUUCUGAUGAUGAAGCUCCAAAUUCAGGUUCAGAUGGGAACAAUGUGGAUUUUCAGUCAGAGUAUUCCUCUGAAGAUGAAGCUGCAAAACAAGAUACAGCAGUGGUACUGAAGCUGAAGGUAGUGAGAAAACCUGGUCCAACUAGUAGAUCCCACCAUGAGGUUGAGAAAAUGGAGAAAGCAGAUUGGUUCCCUGAAGCAGAUGAAAAAUGUUUCCCUGGUGAUUAUGGCAUCAGUGAUGAAAAAGAUGAGCCUGAAGGAUCCUAUAAACUACCAAAUGGUAGGAAGAGAAGGAAUAAGAAGUUGAAAGACAGGAUAUGGUAUGAUCACAAACUUAAAGGACCAGUAGAACAGUUCUAGUCCACAAAGGUUACUACUAAGUGGAUGUCAAGGUCAGUAGAGGCAGCAUUGAGAGAAGACAUUAGAUCUCCUGUGGAUGCAUUAAUUAAGAAGACCAAGACUAAGUUUGCAGUGGAUGUAUCAAGAAGUGUGGCAUAUAGGGCAAGGAGGAAGGCUGUUGAUGUAGUUCAAGGUGACCACAAGCAGCAGUACUUGAGGCUCAGGGAUUAUCUUCAAGCAGUUCUUGACACAAACCCAGGUCUUGAUGGAUGCUUCAUCAAGUUAACCACUGGACAGCAAAUUCUUGCAGCCACAGGAAGGGAUGGAAACAACAAUAUUUAUCCUAUAGCUUUUGGUGUGGUUGACAAGGAAGAUGGUGAAAGUUGGAAUUGGUUUUUAACUCAACUGGGAUGUUGCAUUGGCAGUGGCAACAAAUUUGGAACAUACACUAUCAUGUCUGACAGGCAAAAGGGCUUGCUUAAGGCAAUAAAUGAGGUAUUCCCUGAUUCACCUCAAAGGUAUUGUCUUAGGCACAUAUAUGCAAAGUUUCAAUCUGCUGGAUUUAGAGGCCAGGAACUAAAGAAGUGUAUUGACAAGGCUAGCUACUCCUACACUAAACAUGGGCAUGAACUAGGCAUGGCAGAGCUGAAAGCACAGCCUGAGGAUGCUUGGAAAUGGCUCAAAAAAAUUGAGGUCUCUACUUGGGCUAGGUUUGCUAUGGAUCAUACUUGCAAAACAGAUUUAGUUGUGAACAAUCUAAGUGAAGUCUUCAACAAGAUGAUACUGGAUGUUAGGGCCAAACCAAUAAGGACAAUGUUUGAAGGGAUUAGGACCAAGCAAAUGAUCAAGAGGCAACAAACUAGGGAGAAGUUACAGAUUAGCAGGUGGACAAUCACACCAACCUACUCAGAGAUUUUAGAAGAGAACAAGCAGUAUGCCAAGUAUUGUCAGGCUGACAGAGCUGGUCCAACAAUUUGGCAAGUUACUAGCAAAGAAAAACAGUAUUGUGUGGACAUGGAAGGGUAUACAUGUGACUGCAAGAGAUGGAACAUGACUGGCGUACCUUGCAGUCAUGGCAUAUCUGUACUGACAAAGCAAAAGCUGCAUCCUGAGGACUAUGUCAAUGACUUUUUCAAGAAGCCACUUUAUUUGGAGACAUACAAAGAAAUUAUAUACCCUAUUCCUGGUCCAGAUUUCUGGCCUCACACAAACACUCCAGACAUUGAACCUCCUGUGUUCAAAGAAAAGGCAGGCAGAAAACAAACUGCAAGGAGGAAAGGAGAGUUUGAAGUUCCUGCCCCAAGAGACACCAGUAGGAUGGGAACAAUUACCUGUAGAAAUUGUGGGUUGGAAGGACACAAGUAUACAAGUUGCAAUAAGACUCUUAGGCCUAAACUGCAAAUGAGGAAAAACAAACACCAGGAAAACAGGGCAGUCUAUGCACCUGCUCCAUCUGCUCCAGUACAAACUCCAAGAGCACCAGCCCCUAGUGCAAGAGCACCAGCUCCUGCUGCAUCAGCACCAGCACCACAUGCAAGAGCACCAGCUCCUGCUGCAUCUGCACCGGCUCCUACUACAACAGCUAAAAGGGGUAGGCCUGCAGGUGGAGGGAGAGGCAAGGGAUUCAGUGCACCAAGAUCUGUUGCUGCAACUUCAGAUGUUUUGGAUGGUAACAAAAGGAAGAGUGAAGGAUGCAGUUCAGGAGAUGCACUAACCGUGAUGAAGACGAUGCAAUGUGGCUGCCUGAAUCUAUACCCAUGGCUGAACCCCUUCCCCACCGGCAAGGGCUGGGUUGCCAUGCUUUUUGGGUCGGCUCGCGGUGACGAAGACCUCUUCCUCGACUACAUGAAGAUUGCCAUGAGAUACAGCAGCGCACAAGGGCUCAUGGAUGCAUCAGAAGAGGUGAGGAAGAAGGCGACGACUGAGGAGAAGCAGCGCAUGGACCAGCGCUAUGCAACCCCAGGUAAGGGUAUCAUGCCCAUCGACAUGUUGCUGUGGGCAAUGAAGGAGGCGGACUCCGGCGAUGCUGGGUAG
rnacentral:rRNA from 1 species